CGCGUGGGAAUCUACCUUGUAGUGGGGGAUAGCCCGGAGAAAUCCGGAUUAAUACCGCAUAAUCUCUACGGAGCAAAGUGGGGGAUCUUCGGACCUCACGCUAUUAGAUGAGCCCGCGUUAGAUUAGCUUGUUGGUGGGGUAAUGGCUCACCAAGGCAACGAUCUAUAGCUGGUUUGAGAGGAUGAUCAGCCACACUGGGACUGAGACACGGCCCAGACUCCUACGGGAGGCAGCAGUGGGGAAUAUUGGACAAUGGGCGCAAGCCUGAUCCAGCAAUACCGCGUGUGUGAAGAAGGCCU
rnacentral:rRNA from 1 species